rnacentral:rRNA from 1 species
AUGAAAUCUGUUUGUUUGUUUGUUUGUUGCUAUUUCAAGUCCUGCCUAAUCUAUAAUGGUACUUGUGUGUGUGUGUGUGUGUGUGAGAGAGAGAGAGAGAGAGAGAUGAACUACCCCUUACUUCAGCAUCCGCCCGACCGCAACGAAUCGGCUCCUUCCUGCCACCACCAGCAAGACAGUGAAGAGGGGAUAUUUUUCUGCAGCCUCUGUGAAGUCAAGCAAGAAAUAAAGCCUCUGUUAGGCGAAGUUGAUUAUGUUGUAGUACACACUGAGUGCCUCCAUAAGAAUCUAGAUAAAAUGCCAUAA